UACGUAGGGUGCGAGCGUUAAUCGGAAUUACUGGGCGUAAAGCGUGCGCAGGCGGCGCGUUAAGACAGGUGUGAAAGCCCCGAGCUUAACUUGGGAAUUGCGCUUGUGACUGGCGUGCUGGAGUGUGGCAGAGGGGGGUAGAAUUCCACGUGUAGCAGUGAAAUGCGUAGAGAUGUGGAGGAACACCGAUGGCGAAGGCAGCCCCCUGGGUCAAGACUGACGCUCAUGCACGAAAGCGUGGGGAGCAAACAGG
rnacentral:rRNA from 1 species